UAUAUUUAACUAAUGACGGACAUCGAUACACAGAAUUGUGUAAGGCGAUACCGAUACAUCGAUACUUCAAAACUGGCUAAAGCGAUUCCAAAAAAGAUGUUUAUAUGCUUGCAUAUAUAUACAUACAUACAUACAUAUAUAUAUACAUAUAUAUAUAUAUAUGCAUAUAUGUAUGUAUUAAUAAGCAAUAACAGUAAUUGAAUUAUAAUAUUCAUGUUCAUUGAUUAGUUUGGCGAUCCCUGGGAUGGGGCUGUUCUUGUAGUGAUUCGCGGGGGCUCUGAUGGGAACCAGGGGCCGGAUUCUCAAACGCGAUAAGGCGCCGUAUAUAUACUUAAGGGGCCUUAACUUACGGCCGCGCGAUCUUGCGGCCCAUACACAGAGCAAAGGACUCGCCAUAUGGUGCGAAUUAAGGCGCCUGAGGUAAAGAAAGGGGGAGAGCAUCCUUUACCGCUUUACGGCGGGCGGGAAAUCAACACUUCGCUCUUAUACAAGGGAAAUACAGCAGGCCUUAACUUGAGGUUCUUUUGAAGAUCCGGCCCCAGGAAGCUUAUUGCCGGAGGGGAGGACGCGGCGGGGAGGGGGGCCGCUGGAGGAAGUGGAUGGCGAUGGCGAGGGUUGUUUGGCAGUUUGUUGCCGACGAUCUGAGAUGCAGCUGAUGAAUAUCGGAGAUCGGGAGGAUUUGAUGAGACGCGACAGCUUCGCUGCAAGGGGUGUAACUUGGGCCCAAGAUGAUUCUAGAGGUACGCCAUUGCAGCCAGUCCAUUGCUCUCCACUGAGUGAGGGUUAUUUAUGUAUGUGAGAGUUAUGUGUGUGUGUAUGUUUGUAUGUGUGUGUGUGUGUAUCUUGACUUUAGCGACUUAUGUAGAUGGGGAAAGUAUCUAAAAUGGAUAUCGCUUAGAGGCAAACUUUAAGGCCCUAUUCAGACGAGUGAUUUUAGUGGCCGGACUACUAGCAGCGCGACUACUGAGUGAAUGUUCCCACACGGCGUUAACAUUGGCCCGACUCGUCUCUUGCCCAGUAUUGUAAUUUUUUUUUCUUUCUCUCUCUCUCUCUCGGUCGCUGAUUAUAUAUACAGUUGGUAAUGGAUGUAGAAGAGGUGGCAUGUGCAUGGAUUUUAUAUCGUCGUUUGUAGCGGCAGAAGAGGAGACAGAUGUUAUUGGGUUCAUCCUAUCUUAAAUGACAGACUUACUCAUGUAAUAUCCUUUACAUUGUAUCCGAAGUUACGAGAACUUGAACCAUAUCUCUUUAAUUGCAUGAGAAUGUCCAUCAAAUUAGGAUGACAUCACGCUCCACGUGAUGAUCUCUCAUUGGUUGAAUCCCAACCCCUCCAGCCAAUGAGGCGUGCCAUUACCAUGAAAAUGCAGUGGCUGUCGCCGUGUGUGUGCGGCCGCAUAGCAACACUGUUCCUCGAGUGGCUGAGCAGCCGAGCGACUGUGAGGAAAAUCUCUUAAAAGGCCCUAUCACACUAACACUUUUUCCGUCAAUUUUUUGCGUUUCUGAAUGAACUCCGAAUGAAAAUCAUGUAAACAAACAUGGCGCUAUCGGAGUGAGGUCCCGGGAAUCACACGAACAUUCUCAUACAUAUUACAUUAUUUUAAAGAAAUAUGAUGUUGUAUAUUGUAUAUACGAAUAUUCUAAAAUAUUAGCUUAUGUUUACAUUCAAUCAUCCUAUCUACUUUUUUAAUAGCACAAGAUAAACAAGGAAAUUAGUUAGACGGAAACGGUCGUAACCGUCUUGGUCUGGAAGGCGUUCUGUUUGUAGACGAUCCUUGCGGAGAAAGAAAUUGACAGAAAAAGUGCUAGUAUGAUAGGGCCUUUAGUAGCGCCAGAGGCCAGCCAAAGCCACUACGUGUGUGCGCUCCUAUUCACUUCCAUGGACCUAGCAGACGCGCCUCUAGUAGUCGCGCCACAAAGUCGCUCGUCUGAACAAGGUCUAACAGCAAUGGCUCCUCACACCUCGCCAGUAGUUCGCCUACUAAACUGGCUUCUUUUCUGUGACGACCGUUUUUUUUCUCGAUAUAGUGAAUUGUACUUGACUGUUUAAGUUAGCCUUCUGUGAAUGAUGAUGUGGAGGUAGAGGAGAAGGAGAAGGAGGAGUAGGAGGAGGAGGAAAAGGAGAAGUAGGAGGAGGAGGAGGAGGAGGAGGAGGAGAAGGAAAAGGAGGAGGAGGAGGAGGAGGAAAAGGAGAGAAGGAGGAGGAAGAAGAGGAGAGAGAGAGGAGGAGGAGGGAGGAGGAGGAGAGAGAGAGGAGGAGGAGGUGGAAGAGGAGGAAGACGGCGACGGCUCGGCGGCAGCGAUGAUGACUAACAGCAACAACAACGGUAACAAUAAAAAUCGCUAUACAUCUGCGUAUAAUUCUAUUGUAAUAAGAAUAAUAGUGAUUAUGAAUCUGACGAUGGUAA
rnacentral:lncRNA from 1 species